rnacentral:sRNA from 1 species
GCUGGGCACGGUGACUGCACGCCUGUAAUCCCAGCCACACGGGAGACUGAGGCAGGAGAAUUGCAAGGUUGAGGCUGGCCUCAGCAAUUUAGGGAGGCCCUCAACUACUCAGCAAGACCCUGUCUCAA